CUUCUUGCCAUCUUUCUUCUG
rnacentral:misc_RNA from 1 species